GUGCCAGCAGCCGCGGUAAUACGUAGGGUGCGAGCGUUGUCCGGAAUUACUGGGCGUAAAGAGCUCGUAGGUGGUUUGUCGCGUUGUUCGUGAAAUCUCACGGCUUAACUGUGAGCGUGCGGGCGAUACGGGCAGACUGGAGUWCUGCAGGGGAGACUGGAAUUCCUGGUGUAGCGGUGGAAUGCGCAGAUAUCAGGAGGAACACCGGUGGCGAAGGCGGGUCUCUGGGCAGUAACUGACGCUGAGGAGCGAAAGCUUGGGGAGCGAACAGGAUUAGAUACCCUGGUAGUCCACGCCGUAAACGGUGGGUACUAGGUGUGGGUUUCCUUCCUUGGGAUCCGUGCCGUAGCUAACGCAUUAAGUACCCCGCCUGGGGAGUACGGCCGCAAGGUAAAAACUCAAARGAAUUGACGGGGGCCCGCACAAGCGGCGGAGCAUGUGAUUAAUUCGAUGCAACGCGAAGAACCUUACCUGGUUUGACAUGCACAGGACGCCGGCAGAGAUGUCGUUCCCUUGUGGCCUGUGUGCAGGUGGUGCAUGGCUGUCGUCAGCUCGUGUCGUGAGAUGUUGGGUUAAGUCCCGCAACGAGCGCAACCCUUGUCUCAUGUUGCCAGCGGGUAAUGCCGGGGACUCGUGAGAGACUGCCGGGGUCAACUCGGAGGAAGGUGGGGAUGACGUCAAGUCAUCAUGCCCCUUAUGUCCAGGGCUUCACACAUGCUACAAUGGCCGGUACAAAGGGCUGCGAUGCCGCGAGGUUAAGCGAAUCCUUUUAAAGCCGGUCUCAGUUCGGAUCGGGGUCUGCAACUCGACCCCGUGAAGUCGGAGUCGCUAGUAAUCGCAGAUCAGCAACGCUGCGGUGAAUACGUUCCCGGGCCUUGUACACACCGCCCGUC
rnacentral:rRNA from 1 species